GCUGUUAGUCCCUGGGGGUUGGCAGCUCAAUGGCUCCAGCAGGUGGGGCCAAUGAGGCCAGAGGCAGAGAAGGCCUUCUCUUGCAGGUCAUUCUGCAGGUCCUUGUGGUCAGACCACAAGAGGCAGAGUGAAUGACAGUGUCCAGUGUCAUCCCAAGUCCCUUCAAAGCUCUAUUUAAAUGCUUCAGGCCUCUUUCCAGGAAGCCUUCCUGAUCCUCCCAGCUGGCUGUCCUCACCCCCUCCCUGAACGUGCAUGUCAUUCUACGACUCAUCACUGUCUCCUGGUGUCAUAGCACUGGAGAAAGCAUUGGACCAGCAGAGGGAGCUAUAAUACCACAGAGAAGACUCCGGGUUUGGGCUCACUGUGUUGGACACUUGGAGGUGAUGUGGAAAAAGUAGUCGAGACUGUUGUCUGAGCCCUGGGCUGGAGGAAGCCCUUCCCUGGGCCCUGUGUCUUAGAGCAGGAGUUGGCAAACUUUUUCUCUGAAAGGCCAGAGAGUAAAUAUUUCAGGUUUUGUGGGCCACAUGUGGUUUCUAUCACAUAUUCUUUUUUUAAACAACCUUUUAAAAUGUAAAAACCAUUCUUAGUUUGUGGGCAGUGAAAAAACAGACCACAGGCUGGAUUUGGUCCAAGAAUCAUAGUUUUCUGAUUUCUGCCUUAGAGGACUCCGGGUAUCACAGACACAAAAAUAAACAGUAAAUGUAUUAAAGAAAAUAUGGUGUCUCUGACCCUUGGGAUGCAGUGCUCAAUGCAGGCGCAGCACGACCCGUAUCCCUAAACGUGCUCUCUCAUGACUAAUACUGUUCAAGGCCCAGGGGAAUUCUUUCCCGUAACUCUUGCCCAUUGUCCUCAAAACACAGGUAACUGCUUCUGAAUGUGGUGAUGGUUCGUGCCCUUGCAGUGGUGGAGGCAGACACCUCAUCAGAACACAGGGAGGAUUUGAGCAGCGGAAGGAAGUGCUCAGGUGGGGGAAGAGAAGGAUUUCCCUGUCAGAUCUGUCUUCCUGGAUAAUAUGAAGGGAACUCCUGCCAAACUCCAAGUCAGACCCAUGAACUCUGCUACACUUUGGACAGGUAGGAGAGGUGGGGAGGGGAAAGACAAGCAGACCUAACCCCAGUCCUGGAGAGGCAAGCCCAGGAGGAGAGAGUCAGGUGCUGGGAAAAGGUCUGGAGACAGCACAGAGCUCAGUGAACACAGGUAGUGAGUGCCAUUGUCUACCCCAGUCCCAGAGAAUCUUCCCUGGACCAAGGAUCAAAGCACAGCUCACACAUGUGGAGUUCCCCACUGACAAGAGAUGCACAGCCUAGAGUCUGGGUUGCCAGAGUCCUCUGUGUCUUCAAACUGAACAGCAGACCCAGACUUCCACCUUCAGGCUCCUUUUGAUCACAUGGACAGGAGAGGACAGAGGUCAGUUGUCAGGGCGUGUCCCCCAUCCAGGCCCCUCUCACUCCUGGUCGGUGUCUCACUCUGGCCUCUGUGAGAACUUCUAGCAGCGCCUCCCUGGCUUGUCCUCUCUUCAAGGUGAACACGGCCUCACAAGUCAACCUCCACCAACCCUCUCUUACUAGAGGUCAGAAGCUAUUAAGUCUGCCCGUCCUGGAUGCUAGAAUUUGGAGGAGUGGGGAUGGAACAGGGGUACCCCAGCCUCUUGAUUGCAUUUGUCAGCAUGACCCACCCUGGUCAAGUACUUUUUCUUAACGAUACUAGCUGGGUAUUUUUGAACUCAGGAUUCCAUGAAGACAGCUUAAAGGAUUAUUCUGGAGAAUGACUGAACACAUUUUAUGCAAUAAAAUAUAAAGUGUAUGAAAGAAUUUUAUUGCCUAGGUGGCCUUUGUGUCCUGGCUGAACAUUGGAAUCAGCGAUGCCUAGGCAUCACCCUCAGACAAGUUAACGGGCUUGUCUAGGAGCGCGCCCAGGCAGGGCGAGUGCAUAAAGCUCUGGGUGACUCCAAUGUGCAGCCGGGCCCAAGAACAACUGAUCUAGAUGCAUAAAUCUAGACCCAUAAUGCUCCAAAAUAGAAUGGAAUACAUUGCACACAUAGGGCAGGAACACACGGGAGGUGGUAUGAGUAUGUGUGAAUAACUUUUUUUAAUUUAAAAAUUAUGAAUCUAAGUACCUUGACAGAGAAGGGAAACAUGCUAUACUUAGAUCAUUGCAAACUUCCUUUUGAGCUUUUAAAAUGAACAUGGAUAUCUUUGUAUAAGGGUAUAACCAGAGAGUACAUCAUAUAGGACUUAUGUUUUAAUUUUUGGCUGUAAUUCUCUAUGCACAUUUCAUUCAUUCAACACAUGUUCUUUGAGGACCUGCUAUGUGGCAGGCGCAGGGUGCCCCAGGUAUUGGGGAUACGAGGGUGAGGAAGACACAGCUCCCACUGCUAUUCUAGUUACGCAUUUCUGUUAGUCUUCGUACUAACAAACUAACCGUGUAUAGUAACUGCCUCUCAGGGAUUGCUUUGAACACCUUAGCAAGCACUUUCAGGGAGGCUUACACACACCCCACCAUGUUUGUAUGCUACCGCUGCCUCAGCCAUUUAGGUAUUACUGGAUUCUGUGAGGUCAGGGAUUCAUUAUUUUCUUUUCCAUCCCUCCAGAACUGAGCCUGGUACCAUAAAAAACCUACUGACAUUGGAUUUUAUUAUUAUGCUUUUUAGUUUAAUAGGCAUGUGAUGAAACCAUAACAAAUGUUAAUUUGUGUUUCAUUAAGUCAUAAAAGAUGUGCACUCAUUCAUGUGAUUUCAUGUCUCUUUUUCCUGGCCGUAAGCUGUCUAUUCAUUACACAGAAGUUGGAUACUGUCAAAAUACAUUUAUAGUGAUUCUUUAUUUACUAUAGUGAGCUUGGUUUUCAUUUUUAAAAAGUGUUUUCUCUUAUCGUAUGCAGGAAUUCAUCCCUAACUCAGAAAUUAUUUAAGGGAGUAUUUCAAAAUUUUCAAGUGGCUGAGCAUUUUUCUAACUCUGUUCAUGUUAUUUUCUUUCAAGAUUAUUACAUGUAGUUGGGAUAAUAUGAUAUGGACUUUCUGCCUUUUUGUAAUUGCCAAAUACCUUUUAUGUUCAUGGGAAGAUUAUUUUUUUUCAUUUAUUUGCUUCAGUGUAUUAUCGUGUCCUACCUUUAGGUUCACACAAUGUAUCAAUAAAUUCUUCCCUCAUCAUUCUAUAUUCAGAACUUCCAACUCCAUUCUCAUUCAUUCCUCUCUCUCUCCUCUCCUCAUUUCAUUAGCAUUCCCAUUUCUUUCUCAUAACUUCUUAUUGGUACCCUUUGAUAUAUGGACAGAUAGAUAAUAGAUGGUAGAUAGAUAGGUAAAUAGAUAGAUAGAUAGAUAGAUAGAUAGAUGGUUAGGUAGAUAUAGAGACAAUAGAUAGAUAGACAGACAGAUCUCUAUGUACUAAUUGUGUUUCUG